CAGGGCCCGUUCGCGGGACCUGGCGUUGGGGAUCAGCCUGCCUCCGGGCGGCUGGCCCUUAAAACUAGUGGCGGUCCUCUCGCGACCUCCUCCGUGCAGUAGUUAAUACCUCGCGGCUGGAUAGCGGUUGGCCCACGCCGUUAAACCCCCCACUUCUCAAGGUUGACCUCAGAUCAGGUAGGAAUACCCGCUGAACUUAA
rnacentral:misc_RNA from 1 species